rnacentral:ncRNA from 2 species
UAAGAAGAUUGCGGAUCAGGUUCCGUUCGCGAGAACGGAUGAAAAGGGAACGCGGUUCAAAACCGCGGCUGCCCCCGCAACUGUAACCGUUGAGCCAUUUCCACCACGUCACUGGGCGCAUGUCCGGGAAGACGGAAAUUGAGGCGACGACGCGGAAGCCAGGAGACCUGCCCGAUCCGGUCACCCUUG